rnacentral:rRNA from 1 species
UGAGGAACAUGACUUUCGGCGGGGGAGUAGCCGGCCCAACGGCCGGGUAAUACCGCGUACGACCCAAUGGAGACAUCUCCGCUGGGUGAAAGCAGCAAUGCACCGAAAGAGUGCCUCGCGGCCUAUCAGCUAGUUGGUGGGGUAACGGCUCACCAAGGCGACGACGGGUAGCUGGUCUGAGAGGAUGGCCAGCCACAUUGGGACUGAGACACGGCCCAGACUCCUACGGGAGCAG